rnacentral:pre_miRNA from 9 species
GCGCAAGUUCCGUGCUUCCUUACUUCCCAUAGUCAUUGUAAUCAUAUGGAAUGUAAAGAAGUAUGGAGCUGCGCG